GAGGAAAAGAAACUAACAAGGAUUCCCCUAGUAACGGCGAGUGAAGCGGGAAGAGCUCAAAUUUGUAAUCUGGCCCUUUCAGGGUCCGAGUUGUAAUCUCGAGAAGUGUUUUCCGCGUCGGACUGCAUACAAGUCUAUUGGAAUAUAGCGUCAUAGUGGUGAGAGCCCCGUAACUGAUGCAGAUGCCCGAUGCUUUGUGAUACACUUUCGAAGAGUCGAGUUGUUUGGGAAUGCAGCUCAAAUUGGGUGGUAAAUUCCAUCUAAAGCUAAAUAUUGGCGAGAGACCGAUAGCGAACAAGUACCGUGAGGGAAAGAUGAAAAGCACUUUGGAAAGAGAGUUAACAGUACGUGAAAUUGUUGGAAGGGAAACGCUUGAAAUCAGACUUGCUAUUCGGAAUUCAGCCGCAAGGUGUACUUUUCGAUUUGCAGGCCAGCAUCAGUUUUUGGGGGUGGAAAAGGGUGGAGAGAAGGUAGCAACCCCGGUUGUGUUAUAGCUCUUCACUGGAUUCAUCUUUGGGGACUGAGGAUCGCAGUGCGCAUUUAUUUGCAAACCUCUCGAGGUUUUCGUACUUAGGAUGCUGGUGGAAUGGUUUUAAACGACCCGUCUU
rnacentral:rRNA from 1 species